ACACCAUACAAUGAAUGGUCGGUUUAUUCAUUUUUUGUGGACUUUCGUAAAUGAACACUUAUUUUUAUACAUUUAUUGGGCAGUGUUUAAAGAUUUAUUGGUUGCACAUUUGAAGCCCUACAUUUUGUGAGACCAUUUUUGUGGCGUAUACCCAAUACCCAAUGAUGAUGAUUAGGACACUUCUCAGGGUUUCAGUGCUGGUGGCGGCUGCUUAUCUUGCAGAUGCUGAGGAUAUCGUCCCAUCGAAAAUUCCGCGAGAUGCAUCAGGAAUAUACCAGAAGAUUGAAUAUGAUAUCCCAGCCGGUCCUGAACCUGCCUCUUUACCCCCACCGAACUCAGGUACAUGUUUUAAUACAAGAUUACAAUUAUUUAAACAAUUCAAAUUUACUGAGGCCAACGCUGUAACCAACCAAAGUCACAGGGAUGGGUGUGCUAUAGCACACUUUAUUGUGUCUGAUGGCACAAUAUACUUACUAUAAAGACAAAUGAGUGCAUUCAGCAACCUGUGUUUCAUCAGAGUGUUGUGUUUUUCACAACUGAUCUAUUGCAGAAUUUUAAACUACCCAUUUUAAAGGUUGAAUCAGAUCUUCAUGCUACACUCUUUACAUAAUGAUGACUGUUCAAUAUUACUUUUAAUCUCCAGUUGACUCUCUCAGACCGUCUGACAUAUCCCUGUUUUCUACUAUGGGAAUACCAAUAUUACAAAGGUAUGCCUCCAAAAUACUUAAGUCGACCAAUUCAUGUGUUAUUUCAUAAGUUGGUUGUUGUAAAGUAAGUGUUCAUGUGCUUAUAACUGAAGAUCAUUGUUAACAUUUUCCCCUCCUAGGUCUACGGCGAACAGAAUAUUAAAAAAAGUGGCUGGUAUGUCUGAAUUUUCUUCUUUAGGGCCACCAAUACGAUACGUGUUUUUUUGUUAUAUAUAACAUCAUUGAUUUGGUACAGCAGGCGAUUCACAUGUCUAUAUAUAUAGUUGAAAUUAUGUUGUCCAUGUGCGAUUAUGAAGAUAUAUUUUAAAUGGUUUAAACAAUUGGUUUAAUCAUUAUUAAGAGUGAUUAAUACGAUUUUACAAUAAUAUUUCACUAUGAUAGAUAUGUUAUAAUCUAAAAUAUGAAUUCAUUUUGAUAUCCAUUUUGGUUAAACAAGUAUAUAUCGGUUUCAAAAUCUGAAACACUGAUCAUCUCAGGGACCUUCCUCAAUGGAUAGUUGACCUUGUCUGUUGAAAACUUUUUUUCUGUUGCAACGUGCGUCAACAUUAUAACCGAUAAAGAUAAUUUGAUAUGUGUUUUUUAUCUUUGUGAAUCAGGCAAGGCCAUAAACAUAGGUCAACAAUAGAUAGUCCCAACGACAAGGGAAAGGAAGAAUAACUAUCAUAAAAAGCAUAAUCACUUAUUUUAAUGUCAUGCCAUAUGCUAUCACAUUAUCAGCAUGUCUUUUCAGUUAACUUGAUUUCAAGAG
rnacentral:lncRNA from 1 species